rnacentral:rRNA from 1 species
UGGAGCUUUACUGUAGCCUGAUAUUGAAUUUUGGUACAGUUUGUACAGGAUAGGCGGGAGCCAUUGAAACCGGAGCGCUAGCUUCGGUGGAGGCGCUGGUGGGAUACCGCCCUGACUGUAUUGAAAUUCUAACCUACGGGUCUUAUCGACCCGGGAGACAGUGUCAGGUGGGCAGUUUGACUGGGGCGGUCGCCUCCUAAAGUGUAACGGAGGCGCCCAAAGGUUCCCUCAGAAUGGUUGGAAAUCAUUCGUAGAGUGCAAAGGCAUAAGGGAGCUUGACUGCGAGACCUACAAGUCGAGCAGGGACGAAAGUCGGGCUUAGUGAUCCGGUGGUUCCGCAUGGAAGGGCCAUCGCUCAACGGAUAAAAGCUACCCCGGGGAUAACAGGCUUAUCUCCCCCAAGAGUCCACAUCGACGGGGAGGUUUGGCACCUCGAUGUCGGCUCAUCGCAUCCUGGGGCUGUAGUCGGUCCCAAGGGUUGGGCUGUUCGCCCAUUAAAGCGGUACGCGAGCUGGGUUCAGAACGUCGUGAGACAGUUCGGUCCCUAUCCGUCGUGGGCGUAGGAAAUUUGAGAGGAGCUGUCCUUAGUACGAGAGGACCGGGAUGGACGCACCGCUGGUGUACCAGUUGUUCUGCCAAGGGCAUAGCUGGGUAGCUAUGUGCGGAAGGGAUAAGUGCUGAAAGCAUCUAAGCAUGAAGCCCCCCUCAAGAUGAGAUUUCCCAUAGCGUAAGCUAGUAAGAUCCCUGAAAGAUGAUCAGGUUGAUAGGUUCGAGGUGGAAGCAUGGUGACAUGUGGAGCUGACGAAUACUAAUAGAUCGAGGACUUAACCAU